rnacentral:rRNA from 1 species
GUGGGGAAUAUUGGACAAUGGGGGGAACCCUGAUCCAGCCAUGCCGCGUGUGUGAAGAAGGCCUUUUGGUUGUAAAGCACUUUAAGCGAGGAGGAGGCGCUCUAGGAUAAUACCCUAGAUGCGUGGACGUUACUCGCAGAAUAAGCACCGGCUAACUCUGUGCCAGCAGCCGCGGUAAUACAGAGGGUGCGAGCGUUAAUCGGAUUUACUGGGCGUAAAGCGCGCGUAGGUGGCUAAUUAAGUCAAAUGUGAAAUCCCCGAGCUUAACUUGGGAAUUGCAUUCGAUACUGGUUAGCUAGAGUAUGGGAGAGGAUGGUAGAAUUCCAGGUGUAGCGGUGAAAUGCGUAGAGAUCUGGAGGAAUACCGAUGGCGAAGGCAGCCAUCUGGCCUAAUACUGACACUGAGGUGCGAAAGCAUGGGGAGCAAACAGGAUUAGAAACCCUAGUAGUCC